UACGUAGGUGGCAAGCGUUGUCCGGAUUUAUUGGGCGUAAAGCGAGCGCAGGUGGUUCCUUAAGUCUGAUGUGAAAGCCCACGGCUCAACCGUGGAAGGUCAUUGGAAACUGGGGAACUUGAGUGCAGAAGAGGAGAGUGGAAUUCCAUGUGUAGCGGUGAAAUGCGUAGAUAUAUGGAGGAACACCAGUGGCGAAGGCGACUCUCUGGUCUGUAACUGACGCUGAGGCUCGAAAGCGUGGGGAGCAAACAGGAUUAGAUA
rnacentral:rRNA from 1 species